UACGUAGGGUGCAAGCGUUGUCCGGAAUUAUUGGGCGUAAAGAGCUCGUAGGCGGUUUGUCGCGUCUGCUGUGAAAAACCCCAGGGCUCAACCCUGGGCCUGCAUUCGAUACGGGCAGACUAGAGUUCGGUAGGGGAGACUGGAAUUCCUGGUGUAGCGGUGAAAUGCGCAGAUAUCAGGAGGAACACCGGUGGCGAAGGCGGGUCUCUGGGCCGAAACUGACGCUGAGGAGCGAAAGCGUGGGGGAGCAAACAGG
rnacentral:rRNA from 1 species